rnacentral:rRNA from 1 species
AACGCUAGCUACAGGCUUAACACAUGCAAGUCGAGGGGAAACGACAUCGAAAGCUUGCUUUUGAUGGGCGUCGACCGGCGCACGGGUGAGUAACGCGUAUCCAACCUUCCCCUGUCCACGGGAUAGCCCGUCGAAAGGCGGAUUAAUGCCGUAUGAGGUUCCAGAGUAGCAUUAUUAUGGAACGAAAGGAUUGGCGGUUAUGGAUGGGGAUGCGUCCGAUUAGCUUGUUGGCGGGGUAACGGCCCACCAAGGCGACGAUCGGUAGGGGUUCUGAGAGGAAGGUCCCCCACACUGGAACUGAGACACGGUCCAGACUCCUACGGGAGGCAGCAGUGAGGAAUAUUGGUCAAUGGGCGGAAGCCUGAACCAGCCAAGUAGCGUGCAGGAUGACGGCCCUAUGGGUUGUAAACUGCCUUUUCGCGGGGAUAAAGAGGGGGAUGUGUCCCCCGUUGCAGGUACCGCGUGAAUAAGGACCGGCUAAUUCCGUGCCAGCAGCCGCGGUAAUACGGAAGGUCCGGGCGUUAUCCGGAUUUAUUGGGUUUAAAGGGAGCGCAGGCCGUAUGGUAAGCGUGUUGUGAAAUGCCGCGGCUCAACCAUGGCACUGCAGCGCGAACUGCCGUACUUGAGUACGCUGGAGGUAGGCGGAAUUCGUGGUGUAGCGGUGAAAUGCUUAGAUAUCACGAAGAACUCCGAUUG